UUGACUUUUCAGGCAACUGGAUGGAGAACAACAGUUCGCCUCUCUGUCUCCUUUGACUGUACCUCACUUCUAGUUAUCUCCAGGUUGACCUACCAUACUGAACCACACUUGGACAUUGACUUCUACCAUAUCUAGAUUCCCACAGAAGGACACCCCACUGAAGAAAAUGUCAGCCUUCAGCAUACGAAAGCAAUCUCCUAAUCAAAGUGAUAAUAAGAGCCCUUCUGUUGCCAUUAAAAGCAGACAGCAAGCUAAUCAUGAUGUUAACAAGCGACGGACCCUUUUGCAAGAUAACAGUUGGAUAAAGAAAAGACCUGAAGAGGAAAGUGCUGAUGAAAACUAUGGAAGGGCUGUGCUUAACCA
rnacentral:lncRNA from 1 species